CUAAAACAUUUAAAUAGGAGCUUGCUGCCUCGACUCAGGAACAUAGGCACUGUGCUAUGGAUGAGCAACAACAUAGGUCUCUAAUGCCUGGAGAUACUGCUGAACCCAUUCUUCCCCCAGAGACAGAAAUCAAUUUCUAGGUGCUAAAUGAGGCACUGCUGUUGUUUGGGUCUUUCCUGUACCUUCUACGCAUGGAUUCUAACCAAUAGAGAGGCCAGAGGAAAACCAACAGGGCUAACGGAAUACAAACGACGGGGCAAAUCCUGCAAGCCAUGGUGGUCAGUAUCCCCCCAAGGUCACAGCGCAUGGACUACAUUAAAAGACUCAUGAGAGGCUGGGAAGAUGGCUCAGCAGUUAGGAGCACAUGCUAUUCUUGCAGAAGACCCAGGUCCAGUUCCUGGUACUGGUCUGCAGUUCAUAAUCGCCUGUAACUCCAUCUCCGAGGAAUCUGAGGCCAGCUUUUCCAGGGAUGCUGUCUGCUCCACGGGCUUGUGGCGAUAAUUAAAUGAAAAACUGUAAAUGAGUCCCGGAGGAUGGCUCCUAGCACUGGACAGGUACUAUGCAGUGAGUUUCCAUCUCCUCCGGUUAUAUGGAUGAGAAAACUGAGGACAAAGAAAUACCAACUGUCAGGGGAGUGACAGGAUCCAAGGUCUGGACACGCCUGCUUCAGAGUUCUCUCACUACAACAUGCAGAUUCUUAGGAAAGGGUGUGUUACAGAAGAAGCCAAAGUCCCAUUUGUGCUAUCUUCCACAAUUCGUUCCAUUCUGGUGAUAGAGUCUGAAAUGAAUUUCGGGCCCCUAAGGCGUAGGACAGGCAACUAGGAAGAGAGGGCUCUAAAGGAAGGCAGCAGUCUCGAGUAAGAAAGGGGAGGAGACCGAGGUUGGGCUGGCUUUGGGGGAGGUGACUGAGGUACAACUGGCUUCAGAAGUGGCUUCAGCCUGCCAGGCUUGCAGUGCAAUGUACUAGCAUAGGUCACAGAACACAGAGCCUCCUGGAUGCACUCGCAGACAAGGAAUAUCUGCCAUAGCAACGCCUGGCAAAAAUCAAGGCUAGACAGUCUCCUCAGACUGACACACUUAGGAGAAACUCCAAGAGACUAAACUCAGAGUUGUGUAUUGUGAUGGUUCCCCUAACUGCGCUUGGCAGCAUCCCACAGGCUGUAGCUCUGGACUGAGUUAAAAAGGAGAAAGCAAACUGAUGGCCAGCAUUCAUCUCUCUCUACUACCUGACUGUGACUGCUGCCUCAGGUUCCGGCCUCCAUGUCUCCCUCGCCAUAAUGCACUAGAUUCUUGAAGUAUGCACAGAAUACAUCCCUCCUCCCUCAAGUUGAUUUUGUUGAGUAUUUUGUCAUAGUAAGAAGAAAAGGAGCCAUUAUAGGCACCAAGCUCCAAAACCCCAGAGCAGUACAAAAUACGGAGCUAGACAGAAAUUGGCUUGAAAGACCUACUCUGCUUUCUCAGACUGACUGUCAAUCAGUAGGUUGUGUGGCAUAGCGGAAAGGACAGCUGAUCAGGACUCAGGAGCGCCGAACCAUCCCCAUUCCACACAAGCUUUCACCAUGAGCUCAGCUUGUCUUUUGUGAACUUCAGCUUCCUUCCCUGUUAAAUGAAUGGUCUGCAAAGAUGGUUCAGCAGUCAUGAGCACUGCCUGUUCUUCCAGAGGACCAGUGUUCAACUCCCAGCACCCACAUGGCAGUUCAACAACCAUCUCUAAAUCCAGUUCCAGGACAUCCGGUGAUGCCUUCUGUUUCCCUUGGAUACCAGGGAUGUGGGUAGUGUACAGACAUGUGUAUGGGCAAAACAUCAAUACUCAUAAUAUCAAAUAAAUGAAGGAAUGAAUGAAUGUAUGCAUGCAUGUAGUAGAUUGGACUAUGCGAUAAUCCUUAUGGUUUAUCUCAACCUUAAUACACACAUUCAUAUUUUAUCCAUGUAAUAAAGAUCUGAGUUUUUUAUUUUAAAAUCUUAUUGAGUCAUAGAAAGGUAAAUUAAAGUUAAAAAUGGGCAGUGAAAAUAUUCUAAUAUUCAUUCAUUGAAUGUACUAUAAGUAUUUUAAGAAUCCUAAGUGAGCAACAAAUUCUUAGAACUAAUAUAAGAAUUGAGCCAAGUAUCUGAAUGUAAGACAAGUGUGAACAUUGAACAAUUAAACUGCUAAUAAUUUCAAGAAUGUAGUUUUUAAAAUAUUAAUCGAUUCUCAAUUUGUAAGAUAGAUGUUCUGUUUGUUUAUUUGUUCGCAUGAGUUUCGCUCGGCUGGGUACAGAAUCCAGAACUUCUCAUAUACAAGGCAAGUUCCACCUCUGAGUUAAGCUCCAGGCUGGACUGUGGCGGUUUAGUAUCAUCUCAAUGAGAUCUGAGAGUGUGUCAGAAGUGGUUAAUGUGAAUCAAGUGUGCACAAGGAGAAACAUAAUGGUCACUUAAAACCAGACAGCAGCGUGGCUGGCCUCAGUUCCAGCUCCUGGUACCACUGGUGCUCAACAAACAUCACAUCCAGAGACUCUGUGAAUGGGCAAAGGAACAGCUGGAAUUCACUAUGCUUCUUUCCCAUGUUUCCUUCUUCCAUCCAAAGAGGAACAUCUGUACAGAAGAACUAGUUUACAGCCUCCAUGUAGUACACCUUUCAAACUAUUAACAGCAUUUCAGCAGAGAACACUCUAUCCCUGAGCAGUGCAGUAAGGGGCUAAUGAUAUAUCAAUAAAACUCUGGCGCAGCCUUCUGCUUAUUGAGGCAAGUGCUGGAGUUCCUCAAAGACUGCCAGACUCAGCUGCAUCAUAUGCUGAGUUUCUUCUUUUGGAAAAUGUUUCCAUUUUCUCUCAGGUACUAUGUACCUGUACUGAGUCUGUCUGUUCCUGAUCUCCCUUUUUAUUCUAGCACUUACAUUUUCAUAACGACUCACAUUCUUUUCUAUUCUGUUCCACUUUUGUUUUUUUUGUUUUUUUUUUUGUUUUGGUUUGGUUUUGGUUUUUUUUUUUUUUUUUUUUUGCUUUUGUUUUUGUUUUUGUCUUUUGGUGGACACAGGAAAUCAAAGCCAGGACCUCACAUAGGCUAGGCAACUCACAGAGCAACACUCCCAAACUCUUCCCUGAUUCUGUCUUAGCCUGUUACCCAGAGGACAUAAAUUAACACAUUCAUUAUCCCAUUAUACAAUUUCAAGAUUUACCAAAAUUUGGCUAUCACAUAUUGCCAAAUAAACCAUAAGAACGACUA